GCUUUUAUGACAAGAAUUUGGGGUGAGAAGCAGCAGUUGCACUUAGCCUUCAAGGAAUUUCUUGAUGACCCAAAGCACCUUAAGUGCUGAACUGAAAAGCAAUCCAAUUAUACACAGUGAACCAGUAAGUCAUCACUGGACACUAUUUGCUGAUCCUGAAACUACUGCUCUUCAGUUUCUUGCAUUCUAUGAUCCUCAGCUUGGACAAAGAACUUCUGAUUCUCAUGUGUACAGCAUAGAGAAACC